UUAUUCAUACAUCAAAGGCGUACAAACUAUCAGUCAUACAGAUGUGUACAGUCACUCAACAAGAUAAAUUUACCCUUAACAUACACCUAUAGAUUCAUCAAUUGUAUUCUUCUGCGCAUGGAACAAAAAUGAAAAAUGUUUCGAUUUGAAUCAAGAGCAUUUUUACAUUACUUCUCAUGUAUAAAUUGAUUUAGAAAAAUA